rnacentral:rRNA from 1 species
CGGUAAUACGUAGGGCGCAAGCGUUAUCCGGAAUUAUUGGGCGUAAAGAGCUCGUAGGCGGUUUGUCGCGUCUNCCGUGAAAGUCCGGGGCUCAACUCCGGAUCUNCGGUGGGUACGGGCAGACUAGAGUGAUGUAGGGGAGACUGGAAUUCCUGGUGUAGCGGUGAAAUGCGCAGAUAUCAGGAGGAACACCGAUGGCGAAGGCAGGUCUCUGGGCAUUAACUGACGCUGAGGAGCGAAAGCAUGGGGANCGNACAGGAUUAGAUACCCUGGUAGUCCAUGCCGUANACGUUGGGCACUAGGUGUGGGGGACAUUCCACGUUUUCCGCNCCGUAGCUAACGCAUUAAGUGCCCCGCCUGGGGAGUACGGCCGCAAGGCUAAAACUCAAAGGAAUUGNCGGGGGCCCGCACAAGCGGCGGAGCAUGCGGAUUAAUUCGAUGCAACGCGAAGAACCUUACCAAGGCUUGACAUGAACCGGUAAGACCUGGAAACAGGUCCCCCCACUUGUGGCCGGUUUACAGGUGGUGCAUGGUUGUCGUCAGCUCGUGUCGUGAGAUGUUGGGUUAAGUCCCGCAACGAGCGCAACCCUCGUUCCAUGUUUCCAGCGCGUUAUGGCGGGGACUCAUGGGAGACUNCCGGGGUCAACUCGGAGGAAGGUGGGGACGACGUCAAAUCAUCAUGCCCCUUAUGUCUUGGGCUUCACGCAUGCUACAAUGGCCGGUACAAAGGGUUGCGAUACUGUGAGGUGGAGCUAAUCCCAAAAAACCGGUCUCAGUUCGGAUUGGGGUCUNCAACUCGACCCCAUGAAGUCGGAGUCGCUAGUAAUCGCAGAUCAGCAACGCUGCGGUG